ACAGACUCACUCUGCGUGCGGCUGCAGCCCCAGGUUGAGUGCUUUCUCUGCCCCAGAAACAUCCCCACGUGCUAUAACCACCUUCACCUACCUGUCAAGGGUGAUGCAGCCAUCUGGGGACACAGGG
ensembl:snoRNA